AUGGGAAGGGAGGAGGCCGUGGCCAAGGAGGAAGAGCAGCGGGGCGAUGGGGACCUGCAAUGUGGGAACGAAGGUGUGCACUGGUCGACACCCCAUCGUGGGGAAGACAAGAGGUUGAGACGUGGAGUGGCUGGUGCUGGGUGUAGGGACAAGAUGAUUGGGAACUUAGGAGAUAGGGAAAAUGAUAAGGACAAGUCACAACGCUCUAUUGCUUACCUGCUACUGUUUGUUGCUUGUGUCGAGUUCUUUGCCGCUACUGAUCUCUACAGGAAAAUUGGGGAUGCGAUUUUUUGUUUUUUAAUUUCACAUUACUUAGUAUAUAUCCUAAUCCUAAAUGGAAUAAAGCUUGUGAUGAUAAAUUUAGUUGAUAGCAAGUCUCCUUUUUGGCAUUCUGUCAGUUUGUUCGAAAAUAAAACUGGGCUUCCUUUAUUAGCACAUGAGUUCGUGAUUUUCAGAAAUUGUGCUGCAGAUUUAGGGGCGUAA
rnacentral:rRNA from 1 species